rnacentral:rRNA from 1 species
CUUUAAUACGGGUGAGCCGCGAAUAGCUCAUUACAACAGCCAUCGUUUACUUGAAUAUCGUUUUCCUACAUGGAUAACUGUGGCAAUUCUAGAGCUAAUACAUGCAAAAAAGCUCUGCCCGCAAGGAACGAGCGCAUUUAUUAGAAUAAAAACCAAUCGGGUUUCGGCCCGUAAUUUGGUGAAUCUGAAUAACUUUGCCAAUCGCACAGUCCUAGUACUGGCGAUGUAUCUUUCAAGUGUCUGCCUUAUCAACUUUCGAUGGUAGGUUAUACGCCUACCAUGGUAGUAACGGGUAACGGAGAAUAAGGGUUCGACUCCGGAGAGGGAGCCUGAGAAACGGCUACCACAUCCAAGGAAGGCAGCAGGCGCGCAAAUUACCCACUUCCAGUACGGAGAGGUAGUGACGAAAAAUAACGAGACAGUCCUCUUCGAGGUCUGUCAUCGGAAUGGGUACAAUUUAAAUCCUUUAACGAGGAUCUAUUGGAGGGCAAGUCUGGUGCCAGCAGCCGCGGUAAUUCCAGCUCCAAUAGCGUAUAUUAAAGUUGUUGCGGUUAAAACGCUCGUAGUUGGAUCUGCGGCCUCGGAGAACGGUCCCCCGAAAGGGUGGUCACUGUCUCUCCUAGCCUAAAUUCGAGUCGUCUCUAGGUGCUCUUUACCGAGUGCCUAGAGUGACUAGAACGUUUACUUUGAAAAAAUUAGAGUGCUUAAAGCAGGCGAAAUAGCCUGAAUAAGGUGCAUGGAAUAAUGGAAUAGGACCUCGGUUCUAUUUUGUUGGUUUUCGGAACCUGAGGUAAUGAUUAAGAGGAACAGACGGGGGGCAUUCGUAUUCCGGCGCUAGAGGUGAAAUUCUUGGACCGCCGGAAGACGGACACUGCGAAGCAUUUGCCCAGAAUGUUUUCAUUAAUCAAGAACGAAGGUAGAGGUCGAAGGCGAUCAGAUACCGCCCUAGUUCUAACCGUAAACGAUGACAACCAGCGAUUA